ACUAAGCGUACACGGUGGAUGCCCUGGCAGUCAGAGGCGAUGAAGGACGUGCUAAUCUGCGAUAAGCGUCGGUAAGGUGAUAUGAACCGUUAUAACCGGCGAUUUCCGAAUGGGGAAACCCAGUGUGUUUCGUCACACUAUCAUUAACUGAAUCCAUAGGUUAAUGAGGCGAACCGGGGGAACUGAAACAUCUAAGUACCCCGAGGAAAAGAAAUCAACCGAGAUUCCCCCAGUAGCGGCGAGCGAACGGGGAGCAGCCCAGAGCCUGAAUCAGUUUGUGUGUUAGUGGAAGCGUCUGGAAAGGCGCGCGAUACAGGGUGACAGCCCCGUACACAAAAAUGCACAUGCUGUGAGCUCGAUGAGUAGGGCGGGACACGUGGUAUCCUGUCUGAAUAUGGGGGGACCAUCCUCCAAGGCUAAAUACUCCUGACUGACCGAUAGUGAACCAGUACCGUGAGGGAAAGGCGAAAAGAACCCCGGCGAGGGGAGUGAAAAAGAACCUGAAACCGUGUACGUACAAGCAGUGGGAGCACGCUUAGGCGUGUGACUGCGUACCUUUUGUAUAAUGGGUCAGCGACUUAUAUUCUGUAGCAAGGUUAACCGAAUAGGGGAGCCGAAGGGAAACCGAGUCUUAACUGGGCGUUAAGUUGCAGGGUAUAGACCCGAAACCCGGUGAUCUAGCCAUGGGCAGGUUGAAGGUUGGGUAACACUAACUGGAGGACCGAACCGACUAAUGUUGAAAAAUUAGCGGAUGACUUGUGGCUGGGGGUGAAAGGCCAAUCAAACCGGGAGAUAGCUGGUUCUCCCCGAAAGCUAUUUAGGUAGCGCCUCGUGAAUUCAUCUCCGGGGGUAGAGCACUGUUUCGGCAAGGGGGUCAUCCCGACUUACCAACCCGAUGCAAACUGCGAAUACCGGAGAAUGUUAUCACGGGAGACACACGGCGGGUGCUAACGUCCGUCGUGAAGAGGGAAACAACCCAGACCGCCAGCUAAGGUCCCAAAGUCAUGGUUAAGUGGGAAACGAUGUGGGAAGGCCCAGACAGCCAGGAUGUUGGCUUAGAAGCAGCCAUCAUUUAAAGAAAGCGUAAUAGCUCACUGGUCGAGUCGGCCUGCGCGGAAGAUGUAACGGGGCUAAACCAUGCACCGAAGCUGCGGCAGCGACGCUUAUGCGUUGUUGGGUAGGGGAGCGUUCUGUAAGCCUGUGAAGGUGUGCUGUGAGGCAUGCUGGAGGUAUCAGAAGUGCGAAUGCUGACAUAAGUAACGAUAAAGCGGGUGAAAAGCCCGCUCGCCGGAAGACCAAGGGUUCCUGUCCAACGUUAAUCGGGGCAGGGUGAGUCGACCCCUAAGGCGAGGCCGAAAGGCGUAGUCGAUGGGAAACAGGUUAAUAUUCCUGUACUUGGUGUUACUGCGAAGGGGGGACGGAGAAGGCUAUGUUGGCCGGGCGACGGUUGUCCCGGUUUAAGCGUGUAGGCUGGUUUUCCAGGCAAAUCCGGAAAACUAAGGCUGAGGCGUGAUGACGAGGCACUACGGUGCUGAAGCAACAAAUGCCCUGCUUCCAGGAAAAGCCUCUAAGCAUCAGGUAACAUCAAAUCGUACCCCAAACCGACACAGGUGGUCAGGUAGAGAAUACCAAGGCGCUUGAGAGAACUCGGGUGAAGGAACUAGGCAAAAUGGUGCCGUAACUUCGGGAGAAGGCACGCUGAUAUGUAGGUGAAGUCCCUCGCGGAUGGAGCUGAAAUCAGUCGAAGAUACCAGCUGGCUGCAACUGUUUAUUAAAAACACAGCACUGUGCAAACACGAAAGUGGACGUAUACGGUGUGACGCCUGCCCGGUGCCGGAAGGUUAAUUGAUGGGGUUAGCGCAAGCGAAGCUCUUGAUCGAAGCCCCGGUAAACGGCGGCCGUAACUAUAACGGUCCUAAGGUAGCGAAAUUCCUUGUCGGGUAAGUUCCGACCUGCACGAAUGGCGUAAUGAUGGCCAGGCUGUCUCCACCCGAGACUCAGUGAAAUUGAACUCGCUGUGAAGAUGCAGUGUACCCGCGGCAAGACGGAAAGACCCCGUGAACCUUUACUAUAGCUUGACACUGAACAUUGAGCCUUGAUGUGUAGGAUAGGUGGGAGGCUUUGAAGUGUGGACGCCAGUCUGCAUGGAGCCGACCUUGAAAUACCACCCUUUAAUGUUUGAUGUUCUAACGUUGACCCGUAAUCCGGGUUGCGGACAGUGUCUGGUGGGUAGUUUGACUGGGGCGGUCUCCUCCUAAAGAGUAACGGAGGAGCACGAAGGUUGGCUAAUCCUGGUCGGACAUCAGGAGGUUAGUGCAAUGGCAUAAGCCAGCUUGACUGCGAGCGUGACGGCGCGAGCAGGUGCGAAAGCAGGUCAUAGUGAUCCGGUGGUUCUGAAUGGAAGGGCCAUCGCUCAACGGAUAAAAGGUACUCCGGGGAUAACAGGCUGAUACCGCCCAAGAGUUCAUAUCGACGGCGGUGUUUGGCACCUCGAUGUCGGCUCAUCACAUCCUGGGGCUGAAGUAGGUCCCAAGGGUAUGGCUGUUCGCCAUUUAAAGUGGUACGCGAGCUGGGUUUAGAACGUCGUGAGACAGUUCGGUCCCUAUCUGCCGUGGGCGCUGGAGAACUGAGGGGGGCUGCUCCUAGUACGAGAGGACCGGAGUGGACGCAUCACUGGUGUUCGGGUUGUCAUGCCAAUGGCACUGCCCGGUAGCUAAAUGCGGAAGAGAUAAGUGCUGAAAGCAUCUAAGCACGAAACUUGCCCCGAGAUGAGUUCUCCCUGACUCCUUGAGAGUCCUGAAGGAACGUUGAAGACGACGACGUUGAUAGGCCGGGUGUGUAAGCGCAGCGAUGCGUUGAGCUAACCGGUACUAAUGAACCGUGAGGCUUAACC
rnacentral:rRNA from 1 species